UCUCUCGAUAUGUUAGGGUUUUGCUCAACACUUCUCUCAUAUUGCGGUAUAGAAAGGGUAGAAAUACCAUGGAGAGGAGGGGAGUUGAGCAAAACCCUAACAUAUCGAGAGAUGU